AUUCUACUCCCUCCGUUGCACAAUACAUGCCUUCUAUUUGUCAAAAUAUACAUGUAUAUAGAAAUGUUUUAGUAUAUAGGUAAAUCCAUUUUUGGACAAAUGGAAGUCAAGUAUUUUGGAACGGAGGGAGUACACA
rnacentral:pre_miRNA from 1 species